rnacentral:rRNA from 1 species
UACAGAGGUCCCAAGCGUUGUCCGGAUUCACUGGGCGUAAAGGGUGCGUAGGCGGUCGGGUAAGUCUGAUGUGAAAUCUCACAGCUUAACUGUGAAACUGCAUUGGAUACUAUCCGGCUCGAGGAAUGGAGGGGAGACUGGAAUACUUGGUGUAGCAGUGAAAUGCGUAGAUAUCAAGUGGAACACCAGUGGCGAAGGCGAGUCUCUGGACAUUUCCUGACGCUGAGGCACGAAAGCCAGGGGAGCAAACGGG